rnacentral:rRNA from 1 species
CACGCCGCGUGAGUGAUGAAGGUUUUCGGAUCGUAAAGCUCUGUUGUUAGGGAAGAACAAGUACCGUUCGAAUAGGGCGGUACCUUGACGGUACCUAACCAGAAAGCCACGGCUAACUACGUGCCAGCAGCCGCGGUAAUACGUAGGUGGCAAGCGUUGUCCGGAAUUAUUGGGCGUAAAGGGCUCGCAGGCGGUUUCUUAAGUCUGAUGUGAAAGCCCCCGGCUCAACCGGGGAGGGUCAUUGGAAACUGGGGAACUUGAGUGCAGAAGAGGAGAGUGGAAUUCCACGUGUAGCGGUGAAAUGCGUAGAGAUGUGGAGGAACACCAGUGGCGAAGGCGACUCUCUGGUCUGUAACUGACGCUGAGGAGCGAAAGCGUGGGGAGCGAACAGGAUUAGAUACCCUGGUAGUCCCCGCCGCAUACGAUGAGAGCUAAAAGUUAUGGAGGUUUUCCCCCCUUUUGUUGCUGCACAAACACAAUAAACCCCCCC